rnacentral:lncRNA from 1 species
GCUGGUCGUUACCCCUGCACUACUUCCAGGUGGUGACCUGGGCUGUCUUCGUGGGCCUUUCCUCGGCCAAGAAGAUGACCACCUUUGAGUAUCUCAUUAAUAACCGCAAAGAAGAGAGUUCAAAACAUCAAGCAGUGAGGAAAGAUCCAUACGUGCAAAUGGACAAAGGAGUUCUCCAGCAAGGAGCUGGCGCCCUGGGCUCAUCUGCACAGGGAGUCAAAGCCAAGAGCUCCCUGCUGAUUCACAAGCACUUAUGUCACUUCUGCACUUCAGUAAACCAGGAUGGGGAUUCGACGGCACGGGGCCACCUCACCACACUUCCCCAGGAUUUCAGGGAACAGGCUCCUGUGACUUGGAAAUAAAAAGGGAUCAGCCCAGCCUGGAGGAA